UACAGAGGGGGCAAGCGUUGUUCGGAAUUACUGGGCGUAAAGGGCGCGUAGGCGGCCUUCUAAGUCGAACGUGAAAUCCCUGGGCUCAACCCAGGAACUGCGUCCGAUACUGGCGGGCUUGAAUCCGGGAGAGGGAUGCGGAAUUCCAGGUGUAGCGGUGAAAUGCGUAGAUAUCUGGAGGAACACCGGUGGCGAAGGCGGCAUCCUGGACCGGCAUUGACGCUGAGGCGCGAAAGCUAGGGGAGCAAACGGG
rnacentral:rRNA from 1 species